rnacentral:rRNA from 1 species
UGGUGGAGUGAUUUGUCUGGUUAAUUCCGAUAACGAACGAGACCUUAACCUGCUAAAUAGCCCGGCCGACUUGGUUGGUCGCUGGCUUCUUAGAGGGACUAUCGACGUCUAGUCGAUGGAAGUUUGAGGCAAUAACA